GAUGAACGCUAGCUACAGGCUUAACACAUGCAAGUCGCAGGACUGGCGCACGGGUGAGUAACGCGUAUCCAAUCUUCCCAUAACUACGGGAUAACCCGUUGAAAGACGGCCUAAUACCGUAUGGUUUUGGAUGGGGUUGGGUCUGAUUAGCUUGUGGGCGGGGUCACGGCCCACCAAGGCGACGAUCAGUAGGGGUUCUGAGAGGCAGCUCCCCCACAUUGGAACUGCGGUCCAGACCAAACCCCGACGGGACGCAGCAGUGAGGAAGAUUGGUCAAGGAGCGAGAGCCUGACCCAGCCAAGUAGCGUAAAGGAUGCCGGCCUAUGUGUUGUAAACUGCUUUUAUGUGGGGAUAGGUACCACAUGAAUAAGGACCGGCUAAUUCCGUGCCAGCAGCCGCGGUAAUUC
rnacentral:rRNA from 1 species